UGAGGAAUAUUGGACAAUGGGUGAGAGCCUGAUCCAGCCAUCCCGCGUGAAGGACGACGGACCUAUGGUUUGUAAACUUCUUUUAUACGGGGAUAAACCUACUUACGCGUAAGUAGCUGAAGGUACCGUAUGAAUAAGCACCGGCUAACUCCGUGCCAGCAGCCGCGGUAAUACGGAGGGUGCAAGCGUUAUCCGGAUUUAUUGGGUUUAAAGGGUCCGUAGGCGGGCUCGUAAGUCAGUGGUGAAAGCCUGCAGCUUAACUGUAGAACUGCCGUUGAUACUGCGAGUCUUGAGUAAAUUUGAAGUGGCUGGAAUAAGUAGUGUAGCGGUGAAAUGCAUAGAUAUUACUUAGAACACCAAUUGCGAAGGCAGGUCACUAAGAUUUAACUGACGCUGAGGG
rnacentral:rRNA from 1 species